rnacentral:lncRNA from 1 species
AUUUAAUAUGAAAAUAUAGAAAUAGAAAUAUAAAUUAACCGUCGUCGGAACUCCACCGAACAGUUGUCAAAAUGCUGCUGGAACUCCAUUGGAAAGCUGCCGAACCACUGUCAGACGCCCGUCAACCGUUGUUGAAAAAUUACCGAAUGAUUGUCGAUUGUCAGCGGAACUCCGCCGAACCGCCAUCGGAAACAACUGAUAGACACACACACACACACACACACACACAAAUAUCUAAUAAAUCAUGAAUCGUUUUGGAACUUUUUGACAUUAAAAAAAUUUGGUAUUGAUAUUAAAUUAUAUUUAAUUACCAAUAUAAAUAAUUUAAUAUUUAAAACAAAAGAUAAAUUUGUCUAGAGAAAAAAAAUUGUAAUUCAUUUCCUUAUCAAAUUUUAUAUCAAACCCAAUAAUGAAAUUUAAUUUCACUAUUCUCCUCCACUCAUUUUUCCUCCCUUCCUCUCUAUUCCACUAUUUUUCUCUCCUCCCCUUUCUUUAAACCAACCAUGGCCUAAAAGCUCAUGAAAAUGACAAGAGGGGAAAAACUCAUUUUGAUUCUGAAUUCUAUGAUCUAAGGAAACCACAUCCAAAAUCAUAAGAGUAAGGAAACACGUAGUUAUACAAUAAAUAUGUUUGUUUCCCUGUAAUCAAAUUCACAUCUAUGUGCAACGAUGGGUGAUUCAUGUCAUUAGGGAAAAAAAAAAACUCAAGGUAAAACCCUGAAUUUAUGUCACUCAUCAUCUAUGAAGAGGCCACCUUUAUAAAAUAAAAGGUCUUUUGACCAAAAAAAUCAUUGUUCACUUUAGAAAAAAGAAAGCUCAUUUUCUUCAUCUUUCUUCUUUUUUAAAAUUUUUAUCAAACACUAACUUUGUUGUCGAAAUGUCAUUUUCAAGUACUCACCCUACCGAAUUUGAAGCUAAUAAUCACAAUAAGUUUUUUAUAAACUAUAAAUACAUGUUAAGGUAAAAAUUCAGCACCUUCACUAUGAAAAUAUGUUGCAUCUCUGCUACUAAACUAGCUUUUAGAUUCAUGGUGGGACUUGAUCCUUAUUAUAUGUCAACGACCUCUAUCAAUUAGGUAAUCCUGUCAAUGCACGGGGCUUGGGCUUUGUUGAAAUAAAGGACCCUAACUCUUAAAAAGUCUAUCCUUCAAACUUAGGCCUGACACUUUUAAGGUCAAGAUUAGACUCAAGUUUCAUCCGAGGCCAGUCAUUUUUUUUUAAGAAUAGGACUGCUAUUCUUGAUUCUUUAUUAAUAAUUGAAUUACUAUUCCAUUUUUAUGUUGACUUUGGUCGUAAGGAUACCACCAUGUAUAAAAAUAAAAAUCCAUACUUGAAAGUUAAUAUUGCUGUUGCCAUAAAACGAAGUCUCCAUAAUUGCAAUGCAACAAACAAACAUUUACAAUACUUACAAUAAAUUAUAAAUUUGUAUACGGAACUUUACAUAUUUAUCUCUAGAGAUUGCAUACUUCUACAGUGCAUUCUUAUCUUAAUGUUGGAUCUAAGCUAGAUACUAAGCGAAAUUGAAUCAUAAGUAAUAACUAUUAAAAAAGAACCCUAUUCUAGACAGAGCCGAGAGUGACAUGCUAAGAUUUAUUGGAUAAAAUAUCAUCAGCAGAAAGCUUUUUGGAAAAAAGACAAUGGCUAUGAAGGUGCGGUGGCCAGUGGCGGAUUUGGAAAAAUAAUUUACCGGGGACUAAAUUAAAUAACAGCAAAAUGUAAAAAUUGAAACUUAAAUAUAUAAAAUUUUUGGUAACCAACUUACUAUUGUUCUCUACGCGAUUUCAUAUUCUGAAAAUAUUGUGCAAUAGACUCAGUAUCAAUACUAUUAAAUCCAUUUUUUUUCUACACAAACAAUCAAAUUAUCAUUCAUCCAUUCAUCUCCUAUCCGAUUCCGAAGUUCAUUCUUCACAAAUUUCAUUGCUCAAAAUUAUAUAUAUAAGUACUUAUGUAAAAAUAAAUUAAUUACAAUUGAAAAAAUUAAUUUACUAAUAGUUAUAAACAAAAUCACUAAAAAAAGAAAUUGUAAAGACUAGAAUUAGUCACUUGAACAAUUACAAUUUAUAUAGAGAUGUGUUGACAUGUGAACAAAAAAUAAAAUACGAAAUUCUUAACUUAAUUUGAAAAAAAAAACCGAAAAGAACAUGUUUAUUCUCACUGCGAUUAUGAGAAUAAAGAACAGAACUGAUGCCUGCAACUUCCUCUUUUCUUCAAGACAAUCUCUAAUUACAAGUUUGGCAAUCACGGUUCAGUUUUGGGAUUAUAAAUAUUUUGGGUUGUGGGCUUUAUUUUUUUAAAUAAAAUUAUUACUUUAUAAUUAUUAAAAUAAUAGUUUAAAUUUUAAAGAAUGAGAUUAUCUAAUAAUUUUUACAGGGAUUAUUUUUAAUUUUUAAUUUUCUUUUAAACAAAAAAAAAAAUUUUCAGUGGGGGCUUGAGCCCCCAGUGGUCCUGCACUGCAUCCGCCCCUGGCGGUGGCUGGGAACAGUGCCAGCAUUGUGCGACUCAAUCGUCCCCCUCUGGCUCAUGCGUGGCUGCCGAUUAUUUUGGUAGUUGGGUGGCUGGUGAUGCCAUGGUGGUGGGUGGUUAGAUGCAAAUUACCGAAGUCAAGUCGUUGCCUUUCUCUUUUUCUCAACUCUUUGUUGCUUUAGGGCCCGUUUGGUUUUAGUUAUAUAUCAUGAGAUUGGAUAACUUUAGUGUAAAAUAAUCUUUAUAUCAUGUUUGGUGUAAAAAAAAUAAUAGUAAAAUAAUAAUAAUGGGCCCACCACUUAAUCUCAAUAGUGGCAAAAUUUCAUCCCAAGGGGACCAUUGGGAUUACAUUUUUUAAGAUAAAAUUUUGUCCUCUACUAUUCAUGAGAUUAAAAACUAUAACAA